CUAUUGGAGUCUCUUCGAUGGAGCUUCUAAAAAAACAUUUUUCUUUAGCCAUAUUGAUGCAAUUUUUGGGCUAUUAUGAUGGAGGGCAGCAGGCUGUAGCAAAAUGGUAUGUGUUGAUUCAUAGCAGUUUGUUUGCAGUUUUUUGGCAGCAUUUGGACCAUUGCAGGUUGCUGUUUUUUUUGGACUAAUUUGCAGCAU